AGUCGAGCUCCUGCGAUAGCCGAACUUCUACCACGAGUGGCCUACUCUAAACUUUCACUACGAGUGAUCUGCCCCGAACUCCUGCUGCAAGUAGUCUACUCCGAACCCUUACAGCGGAUGGCCUACCUCGGAUCCCUACUGUAAGCAAAUCCCAUCCGAGCCUCCGUUGUAAAUAUAUUCCUUCCGAACUUCCAUUACAGGUAGACUUCAGCCGAGCUUCUUCAUAGUCGGGUCCCAUGACAACUGACCUUCGAUCGAGCUUCCACAAUAAGCAGUCUCCUUUCAGCCUUCUACAAGAAUCAGACUUCGAUCGAACUUCUAUAGCGGU
rnacentral:lncRNA from 1 species